rnacentral:rRNA from 1 species
UAAAAUAAAUUGAGUGAUUCUGGGUAAAAUGAUAUAAUAAUUAGUAUAUUUAAGAAUUUUUUGUUAUGUUUUGUACCGUGAGGGGUAAAUAUAUUUUUAUAAAAGAAGUGAUUAAUUUUCGUACCUUGUGUAUUAGGGGUUGUUAAAAUAGCUAAUAAGAUAUUUUUCCCGAUAUGUUUGUGGGCUAAGAUUUUAUUUUGUUAAUGUUGCACAAUUAAUAAUAAUUUAAUUUUAGUGAUGAUAUAUUAUUCAAACAACAAGAUUUCUGGUUCUCUAAGAAUUUAAUUGAAUUAAAAAUUAAGUUUUAUAUAAGUUUAAUUAAACCCUGUGGAGGGAUAAGCUUCUACAGGAAUGGUGUAUACUUUAUUAUUAUUAAAAUUGUUUAGAUUUAAAAUUGAUCUAGUUUUUACAAUGUUAUAAUGAAAUUUUGUUUUAAUAUAUUUUAAAUAUUGUUACAUAUUAUAUUAGAGUGUUUUGUUAACUAUCAUAAAAUAGUAAUAAUGAUUAUAUUAGUAGUAAAUUGGUUAAUAACAUAAAUUUAAUUAUUACAUAGGUUUAAGGAACUAGGCAAAAUAUGUUUUCGCCUGUUUAGCAAAAACAUGGUUUUUUGGAUUUUUAUAAAAAAUCAGGCCUGCCCACUGAGUUGUUGAAGGGCUGCAGUAUUUUGACUGUACAAAGGUAGCAUAAUCAUUAGUCUUUUAAUUAAGGACUGGUAUGAAAGGUUUGACGGAAAUUAACUGUCUCAAGCCUAAGGUUGUGAAUUUUAUUUUUAAGGAAAAGAGCUUAAAUAAUACAAAGGGACGAGAAGACCCUAUUAAACUUUAUUAUCAAUAAGUAAGAUUUUUUUUCUAUAAAAUUUUUAUUUAGAAAAUAAUUUUGCUGGGGCGGCAGAUAAUUAACAAUAUUAAGUUUUAAUAUUUUAUUUAGCCUUGUUAUGAUCCACUUGGUGUGAUAUUAAGAAUGAGUUACUAUAGGGAUAACAGCGUAAUAUUUUUUGAGAGUUCAUAUUGACAAAAAUGUUUGCGACCUCGAUGUUGGAUUAAGAAGUCUUGUUGGUGCAGUAGUUGGUAAAGAAGGUCUGUUCGACCUUUAAUUUCUUACAUGAUCUGAGUUCAGACCGGCGUAAGCCAGGUCGGUUUCUAUCUUUUGUUAUAAGAUUUUAAAUUAGUACGAAAGGACCAUUUAAUGUAAAAUUUUUAUAAUCAAAUGAAUUAAUUAAAAUAUGCAGAAAAAAGUA